AAGACAGCUGACUUCAGUCAAAUGUAGGUCAGCCUUUGUUUGCUCAGAAGCUGGUAAUAAAUUCCCAGGAGGACCAGUCUCUGCAGAUGUCCACUUCCCACUUCCAGAUUAGUGAAGGUCCCGAGCACCAAGGGCCCAGCCAGGAGGGAUGGGAUGCCGGACGCCCAGGCCCAGCAUCGGGGGUAGAGAGGAGCACUGGAGAUCGCAGGAGGGGCCGUGGUAGAACAGGGACGGCUGCAGAGCCCAAGCCACGCACAGAUAAAGUGUCCCAGUGUGCAGGCAACGGGAUGGAGGCUGGAGAUGGUUCAAAGCCAACGCUGAGGAAAACCCCGGAAUGAGCCCUGCACCAACGACUCAACAACGGCAGCAGCUUUUUUACGGGAUAGAGGCAUUAAACACACAUUCAGAGAGGUUUGGAUUGAAAAGAUUUUCUCCCUUCCUAGUUAUAAGGAUUAGAGUUUCUGCCAAAUGCAAGCGCUAGUCAUUACUUUAUAAAAUCGAACUCUUCUAUGAUAUCAUAAAUAGACAUAGCCAAGCAAAUUUAUUUCUAAAAUCAAAGUUUGAAAGGAGCUGAGGGCAAGGACAAAUCACAUUUUUCCUAAUUAUUAUAAGUUUGAGAGUUUCUUAUAAUUUUUGACGAGUCAGUGAUCCACGGAAAAUAAAGCCUGAGUAAAAUAACAUCAAUUUUGUUAUGAUGUCAGCACAGGCUAAAAUUGCCUAUUUUUGUUUAAGCUAGCAUCCAUUUCUUCAUUUACGUGUUUGAUUAUGUGUGCCUUCUUCCCAGAAGAAUUGGAGGCAGCCUCCUAACACACUGUUUUCAUGGACACUACAUAUAACUUCAUGAGUCACCUUCUACUUGUACAUUUAGAAUGAAAACCAUAUAGUGUAAGAGGUCAAACUUAGAGGAUUUCAUUCAUGUACUUAAAAAACAAAAUUAAUACAAACAAAAGACUUCUUCAGAGUUCCCUGAUUAACACUUUACAUAAGAGUAAAUUCAGGGGAUAUCAAUUUUCAUUGUUUUCCAGGAGUUUUCAAUUAAAAUGUUAAUGCUAAUUAGUUAUCUAUCGGAAGUCUUUGCUUCAUUUCAGGUGCGUGUUUUUCCCUCUCCGUUACGGUUCUUGCUGUUCCGCGCAUGCGCCAUCGCAAGGCCAGGUAGCAGCUCAGCUGCCCGUGAGCCCAACAUUCUUACAGGCGGCUUUGGGCUUCUAUGAUUCGACGGGCAGUACCACUCCCUCUAGUUUACUCACAGAAGUGGCUUCACAGCAGUUGAAGUGUUCU
rnacentral:lncRNA from 1 species